CAGGAGUUGGAACGCAUUUUCCAGAGAAAUCACUAUCUAAGUGCUGAAGAAGGAAAACAGCUGGCAAGAUCCAUGGGCGUGACUGAAGCCAAACUGCAAAGAUGGUUCAAGAAGAAGAGAGAAAGAUUAUGGAGAGGGCA